rnacentral:rRNA from 1 species
GACGAACGCUGGCGGCGUGCUUAACACAUGCAAGUCGAACGGAAAGGCCCUGCUUUUGUGGGGUGCUCGAGUGGCGAACGGGUGAGUAACACGUGAGUAACCUGCCCUUGACUUUGGGAUAACUUCAGGAAACUGGGGCUAAUACCGGAUAGGAGCACCUGCUGCAUGGUGGGGGUUGGAAAGUUUCGGCGGUUGGGGAUGGACUCGCGGCUUAUCAGCUUGUUGGUGGGGUAGUGGCUUACCAAGGCUUUGACGGGUAGCCGGCCUGAGAGGGUGACCGGCCACAUUGGGACUGAGAUACGGCCCAGACUCCUACGGGAGGCAGCAGUGGGGAAUAUUGCACAAUGGGCGGAAGCCUGAUGCAGCAACGCCGCGUGCGGGAUGACGGCCUUCGGGUUGUAAUCCGCUUUCGCCUGUGACGAAGCGUGAGUGACGGUAAUGGGUAAAGAAGCACCGGCUAACUACGUG